rnacentral:rRNA from 1 species
UACGUAGAGUGCGAGCGUUGUCCGGAAUUAUUGGGCGUAAAGAGCUCGUAGGCGGUCUGUCGCGUCGGAUGUGAAAACCCGGGGCUCAACUCCGGGCUUGCAUUCGAUACGGGCAGGCUAGAGUUCGGUAGGGGAGUCUGGAAUUCCUGGUGUAGCGGUGAAAUGCGCAGAUAUCAGGAGGAACACCGGUGGCGAAGGCGGGACGCUGGGCCGAUACUGACGCUGAGGAGCGAAAGCGUGGGGAGCGAACAGG